UGGGGAAUCUUGCACAAUGGGGGAAACCCUGAUGCAGCGACGCCGCGUGAGCGAUGAAGCCCUUCGGGGUGUAAAGCUCUUUCAGCAGGGACGAAGCGCAAGUGACGGUACCUGCAGAAGAAGCACCGGCUAACUACGUGCCAGCAGCCGCGGUAAUACGUAGGGUCCGAGCGUUGUCCGGAAUUAUUGGGCGUAAAGAGCUCGUAGGCGGUUUGUCGCGUCUGCUGUGAAAUCCCGGGGCUCAACUCCGGGCCUGCAGUGGGUACGGGCAGACUUGAGUGGUGUAGGGGAGACUGGAAUUCCUGGUGUAGCGGUGGAAUGCGCAGAUAUCAGGAGGAACACCGAUGGCGAAGGCAGGUCUCUGGGCACUUACUGACGCUGAGGAGCGAAAGCGUGGGGAGCGAACAGGAUUAGAUACCC
rnacentral:rRNA from 1 species